GGAGUUAGCCGGUUCUUCUUCUGUGAGUGAUGUCCUUCCUGCCGGCUAUUAACCCGCAGGCCUUCUUCCUCACUGAAAGUGCUUUACAACCCGAAGGCCUUCUUCACACACGCGGCAUGGCUGGAUCAGGGUUGCCCCCAUUGUCCAAUAUUCCCCACUGCUGCCUCCCGUAGGAGUCUGGGCCGUGUCUCAGUCCCAGUGUGGCUGAUCAUCCUCUCAGACCAGCUACGGAUCGUCGCCUUGGUGAGCCGUUACCUCACCAACCAGCUAAUCCGACAUAGGCUCAUCCGAUAGCGCGAGGCCCGAAGGUCCCCCGCUUUCCCCCGUAGGGCGUAUGCGGUAUUAGCCUGGGUUUCCCCCAGGUUAUCCCCCACUACCGGGCAGAUUCCUAUGCAUUACUCACCCGUCCGCCGCUCGCCACCAGGGAGCAAGCUCCCCGUGCUGCCGCUCGACUUGCAUGUGUUAGGCCUGCCGCCAGCGUUCAAUCUGAGCAGANCAACUACUGA
rnacentral:rRNA from 1 species